GAUAGAACUUAUCAAUAGACUAUAGUAUUUGUGCAUUUUCAGGAAAUUUAAGGUUCCAAAAAUCUACAGAAUGCAUAUGAUAUGCAAAAAUAUAUGAAACGUUCAAAAUAAAGUAUUAUGAUGUUUAGCAAAUACUUAGUAGAUAGAACUCAUUAAUAGACUAUAGUAUUUGUGCAUUUUCAGGAAAUUUAAGGUUCCAAAAAUCUACAGAAUGCAUAUGAUAUGCAAAAAUAUAUGAAACGUUCAAAAUAAAGUAUUAUGAUGUUUAGCAAAUACUUAGUAGAUAGAACUCAUUAAUAGACUAUAGUAUUUGUGCAUUUUCAGGAAAUUUAAGGUUCCAAAAAUCUACAGAAUGCAUAUGAUAUGCAAAAAUAUAUGAAACGUUCAAAAUAAAGUAUUAUGAUGUUUAGCAAAUACUUAGUAGAUAGAACUCAUUAAUAGACUAUAGUAUUUGUGCAUUUUCAGGAAAUUUAAGGUUCCAAAAAUCUACAGAAUGCAUAUGGCAUGCAAAAAUAUAUGAAGCAUUCAAAAUAAAGUAUUAUGAUCUUUAGCAAAUACUUAGUAGAUAGAACUUAUCAAUAGACUAUAGUAUUUGUGCAUUUUCAGGAAAUUUAAGGUUCCAAAAAUCUACAGAAUGCAUACGACAUGCAAAAAUAUAUGAAACGUUGAAAAUAAUGUAUUAUGAUCUUUAGCAAAUACUUAAUAAAUAGAACUCAUUAAUAGAUUAUAGUAUUUGUGCAAUUUCAGGAAAUUUAAGGUUCCAAACAUCUACAGAAUGCAUAUGGCAUGCA